CACGAAGUUAGCCGGUGCUUCCUUUAAAGGUACCAUCAAGCACUAUGGCUAUUAACCAUAAUGGUUUUUGUCCCUUCCGACAGAGCUUUACAACCCGAAGGCCUUCUUCACUCACGCGGCGUGGCUGCGUCAGACUUUCGUCCAUUGCGCAAGAUUCCCCA
rnacentral:rRNA from 1 species